rnacentral:rRNA from 1 species
CUUAGUAACGGCGAGUGAAGCGGCAAAAGCUCAAAUUUGAAAUCUGGCGUCUUCGACGUCCGAGUUGUAAUUUGAAGAAGGCGACUUUGUAGCUGGUCCUUGUCUAUGUUCCUUGGAACAGGACGUCAUAGAGGGUGAGAAUCCCGUGUGGCGAGGAUCCCAGUUAUUUGUAAAGUGCUUUCGACGAGUCGAGUUGUUUGGGAAUGCAGCUCUAAGUGGGUGGUAAAUUCCAUCUAAAGCUAAAUAUUGGCGAGAGACCGAUAGCGAACAAGUACAGUGAUGGAAAGAUGAAAAGAACUUUGAAAAGAGAGUGAAAAAGUACGUGAAAUUGUUGAAAGGGAAGGGCAUUUGAUCAGACAUGGCGUUUGCUUCGGCUUUCGCUGGGCCAGCAUCAGUUUUAGCGGUUGGAUAAAUCCUCGGGAAUGUGGCUCUGCUUCGGUAGAGUGUUAUAGCCCGUGGGAAUACAGCCAGCUGGGACUGAGGAUUGCGACUUUUGUCAAGGAUGACUGGCGUAAUGGUUAAAGCC